CUGCAGAGGAUCAUUUGCACAUGUGUAGCCAACUGCAUGCUAAUGAUAUUGUGGGCAACUGUAAGCAUGUAUUGCAAUGGACUUGCACUUGCCCUGGGCAGCAUGAUUUGUUUUUCAAGCAUGUGUGCUGUAGCGUGUGAUGUGUUGUGUAAACUGUUUGCAUUUCUCUAGUUGCUGCAACAAUUAUGUUUUGCAAGGAAUGUCUUAGCUCAAUAAAUGAUGAAGAAUGCAGCAAAAUGCAAUAUGCAUUGCGAAUUGCAGAAUUCCGUGAGCUAACAGAUGUUUGAAUGUUACUUGUACCUUUGGGAUAUUCUUGAAGGUUUGCUUGGUUUAAUGCAAAGUAGCUUUCAUAUACAUUUAAUGCUGAUUAGCAUUGUUGUGAACAAUAAAGGUCAAUGUUUUGCAUUGAACCUGGAUGUCAUACAGUUGUUUACAACCUAAACAUGGUUUCGUGGGGCAGACCUGUUUCGUCAUUUGAUGGUUGAUAUUUGUAAAUGUGCACAACUGGGACAAGCUGAAGACUUGCAUAUGCUAAGCGUGAAGUGAAGCACAUAAACCUGCUGAAUUUAAGCAUAUAAGUAAGUGUA
rnacentral:rRNA from 1 species